UACGUAGGGUGCGAGCGUUGUCCGGAAUUAUUGGGCGUAAAGAGCUCGUAGGCGGUGUGUCGCGUCGGCCGUGAAAACCUGCAGCUUAACUGUGGGCGUGCGGUCGAUACGGGCAUCACUGGAGUUCGGCAGGGGAGACUGGAAUUCCUGGUGUAGCGGUGAAAUGCGCAGAUAUUAGGAGGAACACCGGUGGCGAAGGCGGGUCUCUGGGCCGAUACUGACGCUGAGGAGCGAAAGCGUGGGGAGCGAACAGG
rnacentral:rRNA from 1 species